GAUGAACGCUGGCGGCGUGCCUAACACAUGCAAGUCGAACGUGAGGGGGUAGCAAUAUCCCUGAAAGUGGCGCGCGGGUGAGUAAGACGUAGGUGACCUGCCCUGGAGUGGGGGAUAACAGCUAGAAAUGGCUGCUAAUACCGCAUACUACUAGAAUGCUGGUAAGUGUACUAGUAAAAACUCUGGUGCUUCAGGAGGGGCCUGCGGCCGAUUAGCUAGUUGGCGGGGUAAGAGCCCACCAAGGCAGUGAUCGGUAGCUGGUCUGAGAGGACGAUCAGCCACACGGGAACUGAGACACGGUCCCGACUCCUACGGGGGGCAGCAGUGAGGAAUAUUGGGCAAUGGGCGCAAGCCUGACCCAGCAACGCCGCGUGGAGGAAGACGGCCUUCGGGUUGUAAACUCCUUUUACGGGGGAAGAGGAAGGACGGUACCCCGCGAAUAAGUCACGGCUAACUACGUGCCAGCCGCCGCCGUAA
rnacentral:rRNA from 1 species